CCUCUGUGGUUGAAUUAUGGAAAGGCUGGAAGAAAGCUGAGAAGGAGGGCUACCCUGUAGAAAGAACAUCAGUUUCUUAAUCUGGAUGCUGGAGAUCUCUUGGUCACUGAUCCACCAACCAGAUCCUUAGGGGGAGAACUUCAAACCUGCAACAGCAUUCAUUCAAUGAGGCUUGAUGAACCCCAGAAGGAGGAGCAAUGAUGCUGAGGUGUUUCAGAGAUUGAUAAGCAAGCUGUCGGAGAAUGAAGGGCCACCAUCUUCUGAGUUUGUUGUGUGAUGAGGACUAGAGCAAGGGUUUCUUGGAUUUUCUUCACUGUGUAUCUGAAGGUCAGAGGGCAGCUUGCAGGAGGCAGAUGUCUCCUUCCUGCACCUGUAACGGAACUCAGGUCAUCAGACUUUGCAGUAAG